UUGGGAACACUUAAACUCCAGAGUUCUUUCUAGAGGAAAUCAGAGGAUAUUUAAAGACUGAAUUUAACAUGUGUGAGAUACCCGAAGUAUCAUGUGUUCCCAAACAUGCUUUUGAGGCAGGAUGUGUGAUGUUGGGGUUGCAGGGCCCGAUGGGGCGACGGGCGGAGGGCCAUCCUGAGCAGAGGGUCUGCAGGAAAGCUUGGGCAGCUGCAGGUUUCCCGAGAAGAGCCUCUUCACAGCCCAUCUGAUAUCACAGUCCUGGAGAGGCUCUACAGAGGUUUGGUCUAAGGAAUCCCACUGUCUCUGUAAGGCAGACAAAAGGCAGGCGAUUUGUUUUUUGUUUUUUUUACUGAGAUGAUAUAUGCAUACACGUCUAACUGUAAGCUAGAAAAAGAAGAGUGUGAUGGUAAAAAGACAGGAUAAAUCUGCAUUAAUAAAGACUAGAUUGGAGACAUAAAGGGGGGCCAGCUUUUUAACUUGUUCGCCUUUUUGCACUGAACUCAUAAAUUUAUAGUUUACUGCAGACAAGAAAUGAGAUUUUUGUGAAAUGGAAACUGCUUGGUUAACUUGAUUUUCUUUCAUAUGCUUUGCAUGUCAGCUCGUCUUUCUUACUGAAAUGAAAGGGAUGUGCAUGUGCUGUGGCGCUAACAAGAUUGAUUGCUAUGCAUCACAACAAUCAGCAGCUCUGUGCUUUUCAGCAGCAAACCCUGACUCAAAAGUACUUGGCAUUCAUUCAUCCUAUAAUUUAGCUUAUGUGCAGCUUUCUGGGCUAUUACUUUGAAAAAUGAAAAUUAUGUUCAGAGACUGGAUUUGCCUUUUCGUUGACUUAAAAAGCAUUUUUAAUAGUUUAUGGCCUGCAAUAAUUACAAGCACUGCAUGAACUGGUGACAGAGCAACAAUACAGACGCAGCAUUUUAGCAGGGAUAUCACAGAAACCAUACGUAAAGGAAAGCUGCAUGUUUUCCAGCAGAGAGAAGUUUUUAUAUUUCCCGAGCUUCUUGAAAAGUCUCUGUGAAGUAAAAAAAAAAAAGACCAUCUGCUGAGAUCUAAAGGUAAGCCAUGCACAGGGCUGUUUUUAUGACGCUACUAAAAAUGUGACAAGCCUCACAAAAGCCAACUCGGGCAUUAUUUUUGGAAGGUUUAUCUGAUUUCAGGUCCUGAGACCAAACACACUAUCACCUUGGACACAAUAGACGGUUCUUACAGGGAGACAGUGUUUGGGAUUUCGCUCUCAGGGCUUCUCUGUUUCAGCGUCAGCGUUGAGGGGAAACAGAUAAGAGUCCUUGUUUGCCGCUGUAUCCCGUGACCCUAUCUCUCCUUCUGCUUGGGAGUUUCACCUUUCCAUAAACAAAUGUCAACAGACUCUGGAGUUUUAUUGUUGACCGUCUCUAUCCAAGAUCACCACAAGAGGGGCCGAUGUGUCAACUUCAUGGAUUAUGAGUUGGAUCAAUCAAGAGAAAGCUAUGCUGCAACACAUUAACUUUGUCUUUGCCACCAAAUGAUUUCCUUCCUAAAUGACACAAUUUUAUACUUUAAUGCUGUUGCUUAUUUUCAUUCACAAGCUCCCAUUAAAGUUCCCACAACUACUUGGCAACAGGAACAAGAAAGGAAAACAAAACACGGAGCAGUGCAAUUACAUAAUCCACAUUAAUCACACAUCAUAGCUUUCCAUUUAGUUUUUGCUAAUGUGUAACCAGUUCACUUUCUUUUGAGUUCAUAAAAGAAAGCAAAUGAAAUAAAUAACCAAUCCAAGCGUAAUAGAUGUUGCCGAAUUUCUUAAACGUGAAAUUAUUACUCUUACCUCUGUGAAGUUGAAAAUUUUUGAGUUAUUUCUCCUCAUACUUUCAGCUACUGGGAACCAGACAAAUGAGAAGGAAAUACCAACGAGGAGGAUACAGGAACUAUAGUUGAGAUGAGAUAUGAAGUUGUCUGUGGCACCAGCAUUUAGCUGGGAUGUCACUCAGUACAGACCAAACUGUCUCCCCGCCUCUUCAAAACCCUCAGCUGUCAUCACAUCGGUGAUAAACAGCAAACUUUCUUAGUAGUAGUAGUAAACCGAUGUUUUGGAAAAUGACAAUUAGUCGCCAAAACAGAAAGUAUGUGGAGGCUGCAGAUGCUGGUAGAGAGAUUGAGGCGGUGGAACAGGCUGCGUGGCAGGCCAUUAGUCAUGUGAGUCUAUCUGUCUGCAGAAUCUGUGGACCUUGCAUACCCAGACCUGCCAGUCAGUGCAGCAAAACUCUGGGUUUGAUCAAGCUGUUGCCUAAAAUCUUCUCAUUUAAGCUUUUUUUCUUACUCCAUGAACACGAUUUAAAUUUGUAGUUGUAGGUGAGUCUGUGUUAAAGAUUCAGGAGAUUUUGUGAACUUUAAUGAACCUGUGCCUCCUGAUGCUAAACCCACAUUAACUCAGGUUUAAAAAACAAACAGAACGUGAAGUAUAAGGUCAACUGUGACACAUGUUUUCAAGGCCAUUAGGCAUGAGCUUUAGAUUACCCAUUAUCCUACUAUUUACAUUAAACAUUAAAUCUGACGCUGUGGGAGACUACAAAGACAAAGAAUCUAGUAAAUAAACUCAAAAUAUCAGUUUUAAUACAGCACUGUGACAACACUGUGUGUGUGUGUGUGUGUGUAAGCAUGUAUUCAUAUCUUUGUGGGGACCAAAACUUGGAAGUUUACUAUAUUUGUGGGGACCAACGGCCCUUUUGGGGACCAAAAUCCUGGUUCCCACAAGUUUGAAGGAAAUUUUGAGACUCAGAAUGUGGUUUUAGUCACAGAGUUACAAUUGGUUAUGAUUAGGUUUAGGCAUUCAUUUUCAAUGGUUAGGGUUAGGGGCUAAGUAAAGCAUUAUGUCAAUUAGAUGUCCCCACAAGAUAUUAAUACCCUACUGUGUGUGUGUGUGUUUAUUACCUCUAACAAAUGACGAUUUGUGUUUGUGUACCUCCAUCUAAACUGUUUUUUAAAAAGUUUAGCAAAAAACACUUUAAAUAGGGCAAAUACCAAAGUGCUACAAAAGCCAUUUAUGAUUUUAUGGCUUCCAUAGAUAUCAAUUCAAUGACAACACAGUCUCUUAAGAAGGUAACGUGUGUUUUUAUAUUUUGGAAUUACAAAAGUGAAGUGAUCAAAUUCAAAACAAAGUGCAAAAACACAAAAAGAAAAAGAAAAUCUUUGAUGACAUUCCUCAGUGUUUCUUCUUUAGUUUACUAGCCUUUAGUACUAGCCUUUAGUUUACUAUGCCUGUUUACUAGCCAGGUUUCACCUGGCUAGUAAACAGGCAUGUGCAGAAUUGCUCCUUCACACAUUCUGGCAGUAAGUUUUGUA